rnacentral:lncRNA from 1 species
GGAAGGUGGGGAAUUACUAUAUAAGUAUAAAAAGAAAGACAAGGAACUAUUUCUGUGAUACAUCAUAAAUCAUGAUGAGAGAAGAAAAAUAUUAGUAGCUUGCCAUGUUCAUCCUACUUCUGGCUAUAUGGGUAAAACAAGGACAUUAGGCAGGGUAAAAGAGCGUUUCAUGUGGCACGGAAUGGUAAAAAAUGUCCAUGAGUUGGUAAUUUACAUUUUGCAUUAUUAUGCGUUAGAGUAAAUCAAAAAAUUUUGAUUUUCCCUAAUAAUUUAUAAUAAAGUAUUGCUAUACCAUUCUAUUCUGUUUCACCUUAUAUCAUGUGAUGUAUGCCAGAGAAUGAAUAGAAAGUUAAACUGUGGAAAACCAGAGAUGCACCCAAUAAAGUAGGUUGAAGUAAUAGCCACUAAAGACAAAAUGGCAGUUACAGUGGCAGGAUGUCUGUUCAAGGUAUUACAUUUUUAUUUCUGUCAUUGUUUUAGCAUCCUUGCUAAAUGCUACCUUUCUGGGUAUCAAGUUUUUGUGUCCAAAUAGUUUGCAACUUUACAUUCUAUAUUUCCAAACAAUCUUAAAAUUCCCUGAUAAUCUCAACUCAAUACACUGAUUUUCUCUCCAAUUUCUUUAUACAUAAAUCUAUUUAUAUAUGAAAAUUUAUUACAAAAAUAUAUCCCUAAACUUAUGUAGUGAAACUAUUUUGGAUAUCCGAAAAAACAAAAAAUAGAGAAAAUAUCAGGAAUUCCAGAAAUAUCCAGAUAAUCCUUGAACAUCAAUAUUUUUUUGGUAACUUCUAUUUUUAUUUUUUGAAUUUGUCUAAAAGAGAAAAGGCAUCAAUGGGAGAUUCAGCCCAAAUGUGAUAUUUACACUUAUGAUAAUUGUUGCUAAAGUUGCUCUUUUAAAUUUCUAACCUGAAUUAUUCUCUUAAUUCACAUGCUUGUUAUUUCUUUUCAGCUUUGAAAAUGUCCCUAUAAAUUUAUUUUACAUACCACUUUCUUUCUGAUCAAUAAAUUUCUUAAACUUUAAUUAAUUAAUUCCAUUUAAAAAAAAAAAAAAAAAUUACACUUAAAUGUAGAUAAAAUAAUAAUAUAAUAUUAUAUCUUUCUGAAGAGUUCAAAUGUGAUGAUCUUGAAAAGGAAUCUGAUGGUGUAUUUGUUAGGAUACACUAGGGAAAAUUAAGUUGGUUUCGGUAUGUAGAGCGUAAAGGUGCUACUGAUUGGGUAUCAGCAUUUAGAGAGAAGUUUUAUAAGAAAAGUGAGGUAGGUAAAGAAAAUUUUUGAAAGAGUUAAAGAAAGACGAUGCACAAGAUUGAUGAAACGUGUAGUAGCGAAUUUAGUAUAAGGCAUAGGGGAGAGCUGCCACACACACACACACACUCUCCCUAGAACAAGGAGAACAACGCCCCUUAAAACAUUAAAAAAUAUGUAUGUAAUAUGCAUGAUAAAAGUCAUGUAAAACCAACAAAAACAACAACAACAAGCUAUUUAUUUUAUGUUUAUCAUUUUACAAUAGUUUUGAUAAUAAUAAUAAUAAUAAUAGUAAUAAUAGCAAAAAUAUAUAAUAAUAACAUAAGAUAAAAAUACCACCAAAGUUGUUAGUCCUUGGGCUUGACCUUAACCUUGGCUUUUCAUUAAGGCCAAAAAUUGAAGUCUUGACCUUGAAACUGUUAGCCUUGGUCUUGAAAAUUUUUGCCUUGGCCUUGAUUGUUUUGUCCUUGGCCUUAAAAAAAAUACAUAUUUUCUAAUUGAUUUCAUUAAAUUCUUCCCAUAACCUUAGUCUAUUUUUCAAAAUGUGGUUUUCUUGUCACUGUACUUGUUGCUUACAUAAAUACCUUCUUAAUCAAUAGUUUAAAAUGUUAAUCAGGGCAAGAAGCACCAAAAAAGAGUUUCUACAAUUAUUUUUUUUUUUUUUUUGAAUUAUAUAUUAUUAAAAAAAAAAGUUUAAUAUUAGUUUUAAAAACAUUGAUUUGAAAUGUAAUUCGAAACGCAAAUCACGAUCUGCUUUGAUUAGAGAUUUGGUUCAAAACAAAAAAUGCUGAUUUGCGGGGCUCUAAUGUAUAUUGUACUAUUAUCAUAAG